GGGACGCAUGUGGAGAGCAUGGGCCGGGAAAGAAAAGACCGGUACAAGCGGGGUAGGAGUAAGGACAGCAAAUCUUCCUUACAAUCCGAAGACGUGAUGUGGACCGAACCAAAGUAGGGAAGCAUGUGAGCCAUGUGCCAAGAAAAGCCGCUAUUGUGAUACACAUACCCGUACCGUAAACCGACACAGGUGGAUGAGGAGAGAAUCCUAAGGCCGACGGAAGAAGCAUUGUUAAGGAACUCGGCAAAAUGACCCCGUAACUUCGGGAGAAGGGGUGCCCUGUGAAAGCAGGGCCGCAGAGAAUAGGCUCAAGCAACUGUUUAGCAAAAACACAGGUCUAUGCGAAACCGAAAGGUGAGGUAUAUGGGCUGACGCCUGCCCGGUGCUGGAAGGUUAAGAGGAGAAGUCAGGCAACGAAGCUUCGAAUUUAAGCCCCAGUAAACGGCGGCCGUAACAAUAACGGUCCUAAGGUAGCGAAAUUCCUUGUCGGGUAAGUUCCGACCCGCACGAAAGGCGUAAUGAUUUGAGCACUGUCUCGACAAUGCAUCCGGUGAAAUUGAAGUACCAGUGAAGAUGCUGGUUACCUGCGCCAGGACGGAAAGACCCCAUGGAGCUUUACUCCAGCUUGAUACUGGGAUUCGAUACUGUAUGUACAGGAUAGGUGGGAGACGUUGAACAUAGAACGCCAGUUUUAUGUGAGUCGCUGUUGGGAUACCACCCUUGCAGUAUUGGAUUUCUAACCUGCACCCAUGACCUGGGUGGGGGACAAUGUCUGGCGGGGAGUUUGACUGGGGCGGUCGCCUCCGAAAGGGUAUCGGAGGCGCUCAAAGGUUCCCUCAGAAUGGUUGGAAACCAUUCGAAGAGUGCAAAGGCAGAAGGGAGCUUGACUGUGACACCGACGGGUGGAACAGGUACGAAAGUAGGACUUAGUGAUCCGGUGGUAUAAAGUGGGAUUGCCAUCGCUCAACGGAUAAAAGCUACCCUGGGAUAACAGGCUUAUCACUCCCAAGAGUUCACAUCGACGGAGUGGUUUGGCACCUCGAUGUCGGCUCAUCGCAUCCUGGGGCUGUAGCAGGUCCCAAGGGUUGGGCUGUUCGCCCAUUAAAGCGGUACGCGAGCUGGGUUCAGAACGUCGUGAGACAGUUCGGUCCCUAUCCGGCGCAGGCGGAGGAUAUUUGAGAGGAGCUGUCCUUAGUACGAGAGGACCGGGAUGGACGGACCACUGGUGUAUCUGUUGGCUAUCGGAGCCAUGGCAGAGUAGCCAAGUCCGGCAGGGAUAAACGCUGAAGGCAUCUAAGCGUGAAGCCCCCCUCAAGAUGAGAUAUCCCUCAGAAAUGAGUAAGACCCCUUGAAGACUACGAGGUAGAUAGGAAUGAGGUGUAAGCACAGCAAUGUGUUCAGCUGACAUUUACUAAUCGGUCGAGGGCUUGACCUA
rnacentral:rRNA from 1 species